rnacentral:lncRNA from 1 species
GUUUUCAGAAAUUAUUAUCCAUCAUGCGUCGUGCUAUUCCAAAUGGGGAGUCGACCAUUCCGAAAACCAUGUAUCAUGCGAAAUCGGUAGUUCGUGACCUGGGCCUCAAUUAUACGAAAAUCGAUGCAUGUCGCAACGAUUGUAUUUUAUAUCGAAAUGAAUAUGCAAACGCAGAAACUUGCCCGAAUUGCGGAACGUGCAGG